rnacentral:misc_RNA from 1 species
GAUGAAGAACGUAGCGAAAUGCGAUAAUUAAUGUGAAUUGCAGAAUUCAGUGAAUCAUCGAGUCUUUGAACGCACAUUGCGCCCCCUGGUAUUCCGGGGGGCAUGCCUGUCCGAGCGUCAUUGCUGCCCUCAAGCACGGCUUGUGUGUUGGGCUUCCGUCCCUGGUAACGGGGACGGGCCCAAAAGGCAGUGGCGGCACCAUGUCUGGUCCUCGAGCGUAUGGGGCUUUGUCACCCGCUCCCGUAGGUCCAGCUGGCAGCUAGCCUCGCAACCAAUCUUUUUAACCAGGUUGACCUCGGAUCAGGUAGGGAUACCCGCUGAACUUAAGCAUAUCAAUAAGCGGAGGA